GGGUGAACCUGCGGAAGGAUCAUUACCGAGUGCGGGUCUUUAUGGCCCAACCUCCCACCCGUGACUAUUGUACCUUGUUGCUUCGGCGGGCCCGCCAGCGUUGCUGGCCGCCGGGGGGCGACUCGCCCCCGGGCCCGUGCCCGCCGGAGACCCCAACAUGAACCCUGUUCUGAAAGCUUGCAGUCUGAGUGUGAUUCUUUGCAAUCAGUUAAAACUUUCAACAAUGGAUCUCUUGGUUCCGGCAUCGAUGAAGAACGCAGCGAAAUGCGAUAACUAAUGUGAAUUGCAGAAUUCAGUGAAUCAUCGAGUCUUUGAACGCACAUUGCGCCCCCUGGUAUUCCGGGGGGCAUGCCUGUCCGAGCGUCAUUGCUGCCCUCAAGCCCGGCUUGUGUGUUGGGCCCUCGUCCCCCGGCUCCCGGGGGACGGGCCCGAAAGGCAGCGGCGGCACCGCGUCCGGUCCUCGAGCGUAUGGGGCUUCGUCUUCCGCUCCGUAGGCCCGGCCGGCGCCCGCCGACGCAUUUGUUUGCAACUUGUU
rnacentral:rRNA from 1 species